AUUGAACGCUGGCGGCAUGCCUUACACAUGCAAGUCGAACGGCAGCACGGGAGCAAUCCUGGUGGCGAGUGGCGAACGGGUGAGUAAUAUAUCGGAACGUGCCCAGUCGUGGGGGAUAACGUAGCGAAAGCUACGCUAAUACCGCAUACGAUCUAUGGAUGAAAGCGGGGGAUCGCAAGACCUCGCGCGAUUGGAGCGGCCGAUAUCAGAUUAGGUAGUUGGUGAGGUAAAGGCUCACCAAGCCGACGAUCUGUAGCUGGUCUGAGAGGACGACCAGCCACACUGGGACUGAGACACGGCCCAGAAUCCUACGGGAGGCAGCAGUGGGGAAUUUUGGACAAUGGGCGCAAGCCUGAUCCAGCAAUGCCGCGUGCAGGAUGAAGGCCUUCGGGUUGUAAACUGCUUUUGUACGGAGCGAAAAGGUCUCCUCUAAUACAGGGGGCUCAUGACGGUACCGUAAGAAUAAGCACCGGCUAACUACGUGCCAGCAGCCACCGCAG
rnacentral:rRNA from 1 species